AGAGUUUGAUCAUGGCUCAGAUUGAACGCUGGAGGUAUGCUUAACACAUGCAAGUCGAACGCGAAAGCUCCUUCGGGAGUGAGUAGAGUGGCGAACGGGUGAGUAACGCGUAGGAAUCUACCCAGUAGUGGGGGACAACUUGGGGAAACUCAAGCUAAUACCGCAUACGCCCUACGGGGGAAAGCGGGGGACCUUCGGACCUCGUGCUGUUAGAUGAGCCUGCGUCGGAUUAGCUUGUUGGUGGGGUAAAGGCCCACCAAGGCGACGAUCCGUAGCUGGUCUGAGAGGAUGAUCAGCCACACUGGGACUGAGACACGGCCCAGACUCCUACGGGAGGCAGCAGUGGGGAAUAUUGGACAAUGGGCGAAAGCCUGAUCCAGCCAUGCCGCGUGUGUGAAGAAGGCCUUAGGGUUGUAAAGCACUUUCAGUAGGGAGGAAAAGUUAGUCGUUAAUAACGGCUAACCCUGACGUUACCUACAGAAGAAGCACCGGCAAACUCCGUGCCAGCAGCCGCGGUAAUACGGAGGGUGCGAGCGUUAAUCGGAAUUACUGGGCGUAAAGCGCGCGUAGGCGGCCUGAUAAGUUGGAUGUGAAAGCCCUGGGCUCAACCUAGGAACUGCAUUCAAAACUGUCAGGCUAGAGUACGAGAGAGGUGAGUGGAAUUCCGAGUGUAGCGGUGAAAUGCGUUGAUAUCUGAAGGAACAUCAGUGGCGAAGGCGACACUCUGGACCAAUACUGACGCUGAGGUGCGAAAGCGUGGGUAGCAAACAGGAUUAGAUACCCUGGUAGUCCACGCCGUAAACGAUGUCUACUAGCCGUUGGGUUCCUUGAGGACUUAGUGGCGCAGCUAACGCAUUAAGUAGACCGCCUGGGGAGUACGGCCGCAAGGUUAAAACUCAAAUGAAUUGACGGGGGCCCGCACAAGCGGUGGAGCAUGUGGUUUAAUUCGAUGCAACGCGAAGAACCUUACCUGCCCUUGACAUCCUCGGAACGGUCUAGAGAUAGACUGGUGCCUUCGGGAACCGAGUGACAGGUGCUGCAUGGCUGUCGUCAGCUCGUGUCGUGAGAUGUUGGGUUAAGUCCCGUAACGAGCGCAACCCUUGUCCUUAGUUGCCAUCAGUUCGGCUGGGAACUCUAAGGAGACUGCCGGUGACAAACCGGAGGAAGGUGGGGACGACGUCAAGUCAUCAAGGCCCUUACGACCUGGGCUACACACGUGCUACAAUGGUCGGUACAGAGGGCUGCUAACCCGCGAGGGGGCGCGAAUCCCAGAAAACCGGUCGUAGUCCGGAUCGCAGUCUGAAACUCGACUUCAUGAAGUCGGAAUCGCUAGUAAUCGCGAAUCUGAAUGUCGCGGUGAAUACGUUCCCGGGCCUUGUUCACUCCGCCCGUCACACCAUUGGAGUUGGUUGUAAAAGAAGUGGCUAGUCUAACCUUCGGGAGGACGGUCACCACUUUGUGAUUCUGACUGGGGUGAAGUCGUAACAAGGUAGCCGU
rnacentral:rRNA from 1 species